CCCCUUUCCUGCCUGGUCUUAAGCUGGAAUACUUGCAGAUGGCUCCAUCUGAAACAGACCUCCCUGGCCGAGAGCAAAGUCACCUAUCCCAGAGUCAGAUCUGCCCCUCCCCUUGCCGCAUAUGUGGUACGGAGGUGGAUGGCCGGGGUGAAAAGGAGGGGGGUUCUCUGCCCCACCCCGCUCCUCUACUUUCCAUCCCCCGAUAAGCCUCAGCUGCCUUUCUCCUGGGAAAGGAGAGCCUGUGACAGCCCGGAGAGGCCCUCUUCAGCCUGGCCCUCGCCAGGGCAGAAUGUUAAGCCGAGGGGCUCCAGUGAAACGGGAGCCAGCGUUUCUAAAUUAAGAAUGCCGCACGAUGGCCCCAGACCUUUUCCCAGUCCUGCCUCCCCGAGAUCACCGCAGGCUUCAUGUUCCGAGAGCCAGACGGGCUGGACAGAGUCAUUAGUCACCCAGGUUAACCAUCCCUGGUGCAGUUAGCGGAUCUUGGAAUAACUGGAGGCCUUUUACCAUUCCAGCUGUUCUCUGAAUACAAUCCAGAAUAUCAAUGUCCUCUCUAAAAUGCAGUUCUCCAAAUUGAACAUGAUAUAAAGAAAGAUUGCCUGGCUUACAACCAAAAGAACAAAUCAGUUGAGUGAUUUUUAUGGUAUUCUGGCAAAACCCAACACUUGGCUUCUUCCCAGUUAAGUUUGUUGGUAUUACUGAAAAAGUCCUUCUGUUCAAAAAAGUCAAGUUAACCUCCAGGUUGAAAAGAAGGAGGCUUUACAUCCUAGUCAAAGGGGAGUGGAAAAUUGGGUUGUGCUUUAGAUAAGUAUGUAAUAUUUCCUUGCAUAUCAUUUGUUCAAGUUACGUUAUUGACUUUGGAAAUGCAAGUUAUGAAAACUAAAAAGAAAAAAAAGAGGUUCUUCCCAUGAGGCAAUCGAACUGAAGAAUUACAAGUUCAAGCUAAAAUGUCAUCUUGAACAUGCCUUCCUCACCAUCGUAUUACUUAAGAGCGUAGUGUUAUAUUACCACUGAAUUUCCUGUCCCAGAUAAGGUUAAGCUAGAUAUUUGAUGUUAUUUAAAUAGUUUUAAAUAUUUUAUGAUAUCUAGAAUUAUGCCAUUUUCCAUAGCUCACACCCUGUACUUUAAUGUUUUAUUUGCCAAAAAUGAAGGAAAAAUAUCUUUCUCAUGUACACACAGCAGCUUGGGCAAUAUGUGCAAUUUUGUGCUUAGCACAAAAACAACAAAGAAAUAGGUUAAGCAGCCCUACCACCUCCUCAAUCAUCGUAUAUAUAUUUUAUAGACUGGGCAGGACAAGGUAGAGAGAAAUAUGCCCCAAAUAUGUGAAUGUAUGAGUCUAUAUAUUUUUGCUUAAAGCAGUGUUCAAGCAUACUGCCGUUAAAUUGUUUUCUGCUAAAAGCGUUUGAAGUCCUUCCAUCCCAGGAGAGCAUUAUAAAAGAAGUAUGGCUAUCUAAAGGAAAUUUGCCCUGGAUGAGAAUUUUGUACAAAAAUCCACAUGCCACAUUUUUUUCAAGGCAGACAUGUUGCCAAUUAAAAACCAAGGUGUAGUGGAGAAGUCAGAAAUCCCACAUUAUUUUUCCACAACUCCAGGAUGGAUAAUAUUCACAUUACAUUGAAAUGAGUAAGAUAUGUCCAGUAGAAACUGAAUGGAUGCCCAUCAAUUGGAGAAUGGCUGAAUAAAUUAUGAUAUAUGAAUGUUAUGGAAUAUUAUUGUUCUGUAAGAAAUGACCAACAGGAUGAUUUCAGAGAGGUCUGGAGAGACUUACACGAACUGAUGCUGAGUGAGAUGAGCAGAACCAGGAGAUCAUUAUACACGGCAACAGCAAGAUUGAACAAUGAUCAACUCUGAUGGACGUGGCUCUCCUCAACAAUGAGAUGAUUCAAACCAGUUCCAACUGUUCAGUGAUAAAGAUAAAGUGAUGAAGAGGGUCAUCUACAAGUCUGUGUGAACUAAGUGUGGAUCACAACAUAGCAUGUUCAUGCUUUCUGUUAUUGUUUGCUUGCAUGUUUGUUUUCUUCUCAGGUUUUUUUUUUUUCCUUCUUGAUCUGAUUUUUCUUGUGCAGCAAGAUUACUGUAUAAAUAUGUAUACACAUAUUGUAUUUAACAUAUUUAACAUGUAUGGGACUAUCUGCCAUCUAGGGGAG
rnacentral:lncRNA from 1 species